CUUAGUCGAGCCUGACACUUAUCAGCCAAUCACAACAAGAGGCUACACAACAGCCAAUCAGAAAACAGCACUAUUGUAUCUGGGUAAGAUUUAACACAACAACCAAUGGGAAAAAAGCAGGUCCUGGAACUGUUCAUCAUCGUCCUCGUUCCCCCACAGAGAAAAGCCCUGGAGCUGCGAGCAUCACUUUGAGCACAGAAAGAGAAAUAAAAAGCUCGCUUGUUACAUGUGAGGUAUUUAAAACAUUAAAACCAAAGUCUCUGGACAUGUUUCAGCUUCCAUGAACAUUUGCUCCUGGAGUCUCAGCUCUUGGUCUAAUCAUCUAGCAAUUACACUUCUGCAGCAUCUCCAUCAUUUCACACCCGCUAAUGCACACGGACUCCGCUUUAAUGCAUCUUUCCGGCCGAGAGCCGAACGUCUAACUGUGGAAAUCGUAAAAAGAGAUCUUUUUUCUCUUAAGCGCUACGCCUUUUGAACAUUAGCAGAAAUGGGUAUAAUUUAAUCUGAGAAUCACAGUGAGAGCCUCAGAGAGGGAGGAAGAAGAGGAGGAGGAGGAGGAGGAAUUUAUAAAAGCAGACUUAUGGAGGUAAGAGUCAGCGAGAGAACGACCGAAUCAAACGGACACGAAGAGCAAAAAGCUGCAGCUGAAAGAUGAAGAGAAGGAAACGUGGACGUGAGACGUCCUGCAGCUCUUCUGUCCUACAGAGGUCUGAGAACUUACAGCUUAAACUCUGACUGUACAAAGUGCUGACGCUGGAGACUCCUUCUAUGUGUAAAGGUUAACCGAAUCGAACACUUCAAUAAAGUCUAUAAUGCAGCACGAUUUCAACACAAUUUCACUUAUUUCUGAAAUCCGUACCUUGGCAAUGAGAAUGGUUUUAAUCCCAUCAGAGGAAAGCAGCUGACAAAUUUCAGCAUUUAUACCACUGACGCACUCCAGCACUCUGUACACCAGGUUCUUCCAGAAAUUAUACCAGCCCUGAUCGUCUUCCGUGCGAUGAAGGUUUUGGACCACUGAGAUGAGGCCGACCCAGCGAACCCUGAGGCAUCCAGAGAUCUAGCAGCUACACUUAGAUUCUGCUAUACUACAAAGAUGUGAGCUCCAUGUGGUGUUCUACAUCACUACAACAUUUAUCAGACUGUAUAUAUAUAUAAUCACACCCCCAGUGUCACCCAGAUGAGGAUGAGGUUCCUCUCAAGGUUCCUUCCUUUACAGUCACCUGAGUCACCUCAGACUUGUUCAUUGGGGAUAAAUACAAACACAUUGUGAACUAAAUCUACCCACACGUCUCCUUUACCACAUUUUUUAUGAUGGUCUUAAAUGUAUUUAUCGAUAAACGCGUUUCUAGUUUAAGAUCUUUUUGCCCAUGGUGCAUAGUAUGGAAAUGCAGUUUUCCCCAAAUCUGCCCAAACCCUGGGUACAUUAAGAAGCAACCACUUGGAGGCGCUUUAGCUGAUAACUAGCAACAUUGGGACAGAGGACGGUACAGAGCUAAGCUGGACGUUUACCUAGCAUGGCUUUAUAUAUAAAAAUAUACCAAUGCUGUUUUCUGCGAGUGGUCAGUGAUGUCCAACCCACCGGAUCAUAAAGAAUACAAUGGUGAAUAAGGGACUUUACAUUUGUAAUAAAGCGUAGAGACGCAUGAUACGCCGGAUCAAGGCUCCGUAAGAUAGAGGAGGCCGCAUGCAUAUAUAACAUGUCACCAUAAUCAAUCACAGACAAGAUGGCAGCUUCCACAAGUUUUUUUUUUUUGGCAUUAAAUGUAAAACUAGAUUUAUUUCUAAAAUAAAAGCCAAUCUUUAGCAAUAUGUACAUUAAAUAAAAGUUUCUCGUCUAUCCAUAUACCCGAGUACUUGUAUGUGGGUACACUUUCAAUGGAAUUACCAUCAGACGUAAAAGUGCUAAGAUCAUCAAGCAGCUGUGUGAUUUAUAAAAAUAGAGAACAGAAUAGGUCCCAAAAUGGACCCCUGAGGGACCCCUUUAGAUAUCCCAAGAAACUCAGAUUUGUGGCCCUCUGCAUAGACACAAUGAAUUCUAUCUACAGUACAAAAUAGUUUCUGAACCACUUAACAGCAUUGGGACUGAAACCCACAUCCCUAAGUUUGUUUAGCAACAAUUCAUGAUCUACGGACUCAAACGCCUCGGAUCGAUCUAUAAAUAAAGCAGCGCAAUGUAGUUUUCUAUCCAAGGCACAAAUAAGAUCAUUUAUCACCACCAUAGCAGCAGUAACAGUACUGUGGCCAGAUCUAAAACCAGACUGAAAAUUGUUUACAAUAUUAUUAUCAAGUAAGAACUGUUUAACCUGUAAAUUUACCUGCGAUUCAAAGAUCUUAGCCAGGAUUGAGAGUUUGGAAAUCGGACGGUAAUUAUUUAGCUCUGAGGGGUCCCCACCUUUAAAUAAGGGCAGAACAUAAGCAGCUUCCCAGAUUUGGGGUAUUGAACUGGACAUAAGACUCAAAUUAAAAAUGUGAGUAAUGGCUCAGCAAUAACAUCCACCACCACCUUCAGGAGAUAAGGAUCCAGACUGUCAGGACCUGCAGAUUUUUUGUGGUCAAUGCCUUUCAGAGCUUCACUAACUUGUGCAACUCCAGACAAACAAAUCCAGAUUACUAUCAGUUGCAGUGGUGGCAGAACAUGGGGCAGGUGCAUUUACAUUUCAACAGUCAAAUGAAGACCCGGUACAGAUAAAGUGUUUAUUUAUCUGACUGAUCAUAGCAGCUUUAUCCUUUAUUUCAUCUGAGCCAACCAGAAGGUGUUCAGGGAGGCUUGAAGCAACAUGUGGACCUGACAUAGAUUUAAUUACUUUCCAAAAUUUGGAGGGGUUCUUUAGAUUCUGUGUAACUGUCUUCAGAUAAAACUCUGAUUUGGAAUUUCUUAUCAUCAAGGUGCACUUGUUCCUUAGGGUUCUAAACGUAGUCCAGUCAGCAGAGGAGUUAGGAAAUCUAGCUUGGGCCCAUGAUUUAUUUCUUAAAUGAAUUAGCUCUGAGAGACUGUCUGAGAACCAGGGAUUUUCCCUCCCACUGAUCCGAAGCUUUUUAAUGGGAACAUGUUUAUUUGAGAUAGACAGAAAAAUUGAGUGAACAUAUUCCCAUGCCAAGUCAACAUCCGGAAUCAGAGUUACUCUGUUAAGAUCACUAUAAUAUAAAUCAUGCAGGAAAGUCUGCUUUUGAAAACCUUUAAAAUAUCUUUUAAAAAUGAGCCGAGGUUUUAACUUGGGAAUUUUUGUAUUCCUGACACAAGCAAUUGCACAAUGAUCGCUAACAUCAUUGCAAAAUAUGCCAGUUGAAGUGUAUUUGUUCUAUGUUUAUGUUCUAUAAAGCUGCUUUGAGACAAUGUCAAUUGUAAAAAGCGCUAUACAAAUAAACUUGAAUUGAAUUGAAUUGAAGUUCUGAAGCAUUAUGAUGGGGAUUUUAGAAGGGAAUAGGACUGGGUUACAAUUGUGUAACAGUGACGUGACAUACGGCUAAGUACGAUGACCCAGACUCAGAAUUCGUUCUCUGCAUUUAACCCAUCCAAAGUGCACACACACAGCAGUGAACACACACACACCGUGAACACACACCCAGAGCAGUGGGCAACCAGAGGGCACCUCGGUCGUGGCCGGCCCGAGACUCGAACCCACAACCUUAGGGUUACGAGUCAGACUCUCUAACCAUUAGGCCACGAGUAGAAUUGUGUAAUACAUUUGAAUAGAAGUUGAUUAAAGCCUAAAUGAAUAAUUAACAAUUAAUUUAAUAAUAAGCUACUGUUAGCUUAAUAAAGUAGCAUAGACUAGAAGAUGAAUAGAAUAGCAGAAAAUAGAAUAGCAUAGAGUGUAGAAAAGAACAAAAUAAAAAGAAAUCGAAUGGAACAGUGUGACAAAAGAGAGAUGAGGAAGAUGAUGAAGAAGAAAAGGAAGAAUAGAAUAGAACGGUGUAAUAAUGUUCAAAAAGCCUUUUAAAAGAAUAGAAUCGUGUAAGGACAGACAAUCGGUGCACUAGAAUUAUGCAUUAAUACUGUUAUAUAGAAUAGAGAACUGUAUCAUCCUAAUUUCGAGGAGAAGAUGACAGAAUUGAAUAAUAUUAGCUUACAGAAUUGAAUAUAACAGAUUAGAAAUGUGUUUAAAAUAAUAGUGUAAUAAUAACAGAAGAGAGUAGAAUUGUCUGCUAAUCAUGGUGAAGUAAAAGUCAUAAAACAGAAUAAUAUACUAGAAAUAUAUUUUUAAUUGUAGAUUAUUUUCAUUGUAGAUUCUUGUAAGAUGCUGGAAUUUAUUUGGAGUUUUUUUUUUAUUAAAUUUAAGUUAAUUCUGGUUCUGUAUAGAAUUAAAGCACACAGUAAAUUCUACUCAUCUCCACGCAGUCGCAGUUUCACUGUGCAGAUUUCUAAAGCGGAUAAAAAAUCCAGCUUCGACCAUCAUCAAAAGACCUAUUAGCACUAAAAAGAUGCACAAAACACUGCGACUUCAUUCCGACCCUCAUCUCCAUGACGACGCCGGCCCUUCCCACCCAGCGCUCACGAUUAGAAGUGAACGAUUUCACUUCUGUGAUCUUCAGCAUCUGCGUGAAAUUAAAGAGCUGCUCGUUUAGAUAUACGGGAGAAUUUCAGAGCAGCGGGAGGAAAGACGGCGGUGGUGAUGGUGAGAGUGUGACUCAACUACGGCUCAGGAAAAAGAAACAUUUAUGAUCAUCGUACAGGAUUUUAAUACACUCACUCACUCCCACACACACACACACACACACACACACACACACACACACACACACACACACACACACACACACACACAAUACACACAAAAAAAUACACUUUGAUCUUCUCUAUAGUAACACAUGACUGUGAGCAAUAAGGUGGAACAUCACUGUCUCUAACAGCAGAACACACAGCAGAUUACAGAAGAGCUGAACACUUUACUCACACACACACACACACACACACACACACACACACACACACACACACACAAACACACACACAAGCAACAGAUGUGUAUAACAACAUUUUACUAAUUGUUUAAUUACAAACACGCAAUACCCCAAUUAAACAUUAUAUAACAAAUUAGAGACAUAGUUAGAGACAUAGAUUGAUAAUGUGUGUGUGUGUGUGUGUGUGU